AUACGUAGGGGGCGAGCGUUGUCCGGAUUUACUGGGUGUAAAGGGCGCGUAGGCGGUCUAAUAAGUCAGAUGUGAAAGUCCAGGGCUUAACUCUGGAAUUGCAUUUGAAACUGUUGGACUUGAGUUAAGGAGAGGAGAGCGGAAUUCCUAGUGUAGCGGUGAAAUGCGUAGAUAUUAGGAAGAACACCAGUGGCGAAGGCGGCUCUCUGGACUUAAACUGACGCUGAGGCGCGAAAGCGUGGGUAGCGAACAGGAUUAGAUACCCUGGUAGUCCACGCUGUAAACGAUGAGUGCUAGGUGUUGGGGGUCAAACCUCAGUGCCGGAGUUAACACAUUAAGCACUCCGCCUGGGGAGUACGACCGCAAGGUUGAA
rnacentral:rRNA from 1 species